UACGGAGGGUGCAAGCGUUAUCCGGAAUCAUUGGGUUUAAAGGGUCCGUAGGUGGGCAAUUAAGUCAGAGGUGAAAUCCCAUAGCUUAACUAUGGAACUGCCUUUGAUACUGGUUGUCUUGAGUUAUAUUGAAGUGAGUAGAAUGUGUAGUGUAGCGGUGAAAUGCAUAGAUAUUACACAGAAUACCGAUUGCGAAGGCAGCUCACUAAGUAUAUACUGACACUGAUGGACGAAAGCGUGGGGAGCGAACAGG
rnacentral:rRNA from 1 species